rnacentral:rRNA from 1 species
CAGUAGCCGCGGUAAUACGAGGGGUGCAAGCGUUAUUCGGAUUGAUUGGGUGUAAAGGGUGUGCAGACGGCUUAUUAAGUCACUUGUUAAAUUCUUCGGCCUAACUGAAGGUCUGCAAGUGAUACUGAUGAGCUAGAGGGUGGAAGAGAGAAGUGGAAUUCUCGGAGUAGCGGUAAAAUGCGUAGAUCUCGAGAGGAACACCAAUGGCGAAGGCAGCUUCUUGGUCCAUUCCUGACGUUCAUACACGAAAGCGUGGGGAGCAAACAGGAUUAGAUACCCCCGUAGUCCCUGUCUCUUAUAA